rnacentral:rRNA from 1 species
UAACACCUACGGGGCGCAGCAGUGAGGAAUAUUGGUCAAUGGCCGAGAGGCUGAACCAGCCAAGUCGCGUGAGGGAAGACGGCCCUACGGGUUGUAAACCUCUUUUGUCGGGGAGCAAAGAGAGUCACGUGUGACUCAUUGAGAGUACCCGAAGAAAAAGCAUCGGCUAACUCCGUGCCAGCAGCCGCGGUAAUACGUAGGUGGCGAGCGUUAUCCGGAAUGAUUGGGCGUAAAGGGUGCGUAGGCGGCCUGCUAAGUCUGGAGUGAAAGGUACCGGCUCAACCGGUACAGGCUCUGGAAACGGG